UGAAUAGGGUUAGUACUUGAAGCACUAAAAUGUUCUUACCUCUUGAAAAACAAACAAGUUGAGUGUUAUAAAGCACCAUAAAGUUUGUGUCUGAAGAAAGCAAUUUGUUGGCAUAAGAAGUUAUUGCCCACAAUAAUAAACCUGUUGAUCAGUGGUUUCAGUUUGUGGUCUGCAGAUUUCUCAAGUUCUGUGAACUGAAAAAGGGUUCAUGAAAAAUAAUUAAGAACAGCCAGCCUGUUGUUUUGAAAGAAAAAAAAUGUUUAGAGCUUGCAGCUUUAAAGAAGGCUAAGAUAUAGACAGAUGGGCACAGUGCUUCUGUCCUGUGUGGGAGGUGCAGCUGGGAGAGGGAGCUGGCAGAUCUAACAUUCUCAGGCUACUCAGUGUGGUUUUGAUAAAACUGCAACCCCAGUGGAUUUUAGUCUGCCUUUACAAUUCUUUUCUCUAUUUUCCUUAAUAACAAUUUUUAAAAUGUGUUUACUUACUCCCCUGCUGUAGAUUUUUUAUCAAACUGCAGAAAACAUAGGAAAGUACCUUCUGUAUUUAUACAGAAUUUCUGUUUCUGCUAUGCAUGCAAAUAGUUAUUGAAUUUACUGAAAGAUAAAACUUAACUCAUUUGUCAGAACAUAAUUUUAUUGUUAUUUGAUUUUUUUUUUAGUGCAGUCAAGUUCCCUGUCAGCUUAAAAGAACCAUAGAAAGACUGAAAGUUUCCUUUGAGAAUGAUCCAGCAAGAACCCAUAUUUCUCUGAUGGAGAAAAACAUGAAUCACAUAACAUCAACUUUAAAGAAAACACAUAAACAACCCCAGAAGAUCAUUCCCUGUCCAAUGAAAGACCUGACCCUACAGGAUGCCCUGGAUCACUUCAAGGAAUAUUUUCAGAAGGUAAAUGAGAACUGCUGGAAGUCCUGAUGAUAGGUGUUGGCAGCCCAAAUACUUGGAGACAACUCUUACCCAACACUAGAGCUGGUUCUGAUGGAAGACAGAGCACCACAAAGAGACACCACAACAUUAACAUGAAUGUUUCAUAUAUGAGUUUUCAGAUAUUUAUGUCUUAUUGCAAUUAUUAGCGUAUUUAUUUAAUUUAUAGAGUGCUUCUAUAUUUUUACCUUAAUGUUCAA
rnacentral:lncRNA from 1 species